rnacentral:rRNA from 1 species
AUUGAACGCUGGCGGCAUGCCUUACACAUGCAAGUCGAACGGCAGCACGGGAGCAAUCCUGGUGGCGAGUGGCGAACGGGUGAGUAAUAUAUCGGAACGUGCCCAGUCGUGGGGGAUAACGUAGCGAAAGCUACGCUAAUACCGCAUACGAUCUAUGGAUGAAAGCGGGGGAUCGCAAGACCUCGCGCGAUUGGAGCGGCCGAUAUCAGAUUAGGUAGUUGGUGAGGUAAAGGCUCACCAAGCCGACGAUCUGUAGCUGGUCUGAGAGGACGACCAGCCACACUGGGACUGAGACACGGCCCAGACUCCUACGGGAGGCAGCAGUGGGGAAUUUUUGGGACAAUGGGCGCAAGCCUGAUCCAGCAAUGCCGCGUGCAGGAUGAAGG